UGUAUUGUAGUGUUUGGCUGAUACAGUACACACACACACACACACACACACACCAUUUCAAUCGAUAAGAUCUUUAUCAGGUUCAGUGGGUUUAGAUCAGGUAGGUACAAGCAUCUAAAAUACACAUACAACAAUAACACUCUCAACUAGCUUCAAUCUAAUCUAAGAAGGUCUAAUGUCAAUAAUGAUAUCUACUCAUUAUCAAUCCUCUAUCCACAUGAUCAACAGUUGGCUUUGAACUAUGAAAAACAAACAAGCUACUUAAAAGUUACAGACUUUAAAAAUAAAACCUCAAAACCUGUCAAGCCUCUUACAUCAUUCUUUGUAAAAACACUUUUUUUUUUUUUUAGCUAAUCACAACAAUACUACUAACGUAUCACAAGGAGAACAAACUAAAGAUAUCAUAUUCCACAGAGAUGACUUCGUGUCCUCUACUUCCUGUUUCUGAUACUGACUCUGGGCUACUGAAACUGCUGUUAUCUCUACUCUCCAGACUCAGUCAGGUCCAGGUUGGUACUCUACUCUACUGUCCAGACUCAGUUGGGUCCAGGUUGGUACUCUACUCUACUGUCCAGACUCAGUCAGGUCCAGGUUGGUACUCUACUCUACUGUCCAGACUCAGUCAGGUCCAGGUUGAUACUCUACUGUCCAGACUCAGUUGGGUCCAGGUUGGUACUCUACUCUACUGUCCAGACUCAGUCAGGUCCAGGUUGAUACUCUACUCUACUGUCCAGACUCAGUCAGGUCCAGGUUGGUACUCUACUCUACUGUCCAGACUCAGUCAGGUCCAGGUUGGUACUCUACUCUACUGUCCAGACUCAGUCAGGUCCAGGUUGAUACUCAACUCUACUGUCCAGACUCAGUCAGGUCCAGGUUGGUACUCUACUCUACUGUCCAGACUCAGUCAGGUCCAGGUUGGUACUCUAUUGCAACUCCUGUUAUCUCGACUGUCCAGACUCAGUCAGGUCCAGGUUGGUACUCUAUUGCAACUCCUGUUAUCUCUACUGUCCAGACUCAGUCAGGUCCAGGUUGAUACUCUACUGUCCAGACUCAGUCAGGUCCAGGUUGGUACUCUACUCUACUGUCCAGACUCAGUCAGGUCCAGGUUGGUACUCUACUCUACUGUCCAGACUCAGUCAGGUCCAGGUUGAUACUCUACUGUCCAGACUCAGUCAGGUUCAGGUUGAUACUCUACUCUACUGUCCAGACUCAGUUGGGUCCAGGUUGGUACUCUACUCUACUGUCCAGACUCAGUCAGGUCCAGGUUGGUACUCUACUCUACUGUCCAGACUCAGUCAGGUCCAGGUUGGUACUCUACUCUACUGUCCAGACUCAGUCAGGUCCAGGUUGGUACUCUACUCUACUGUCCAGACUCAGUCAGGUCCAGGUUGGUACUCUACUCUACUGUCCAGACUCAGUCAGGUCCAGGUAGGUACUCAACUCUACUGUCCAGACUCAGUCAGGUCCAGGUUGGUACUCUACUCUACUGUCCAGACUCAGUCAGGUCCAGGUUGGUACUCUACUCUACCCUCCAGACUCAGUCAGGUCCAGGUUGAUACUCUACUGUCCAGACUCAGUCAGGUUCAGGUUGAUACUCUACUCUACUGUCCAGACUCAGUCAGGUCCAGGUUGAUACUCUACUGUCCAGACUCAG